GUGGGGAAUAUUGGACAAUGGGCGAAAGCCUGAUCCAGCCAUGCCGCGUGUGUGAAGAAGGUCUUCGGAUUGUAAAGCACUUUAAGUUGGGAGGAAGGGCAGUAAGUUAAUACCUUGCUGUUUUGACGUUACCGACAGAAUAAGCACCGGCUAACUUCGUGCCAGCAGCCGCGGUAAUACGAAGGGUGCAAGCGUUAAUCGGAAUUACUGGGCGUAAAGCGCGCGUAGGUGGUUUUGUAAGUUGGAGGUGAAAUCACCGGGCUCAACCUGGGAACUGCCUCGAAAAUUGCAUGACUAGAGUACGGUAGAGGGUAGUGGAAUUUCCUGUGUAGCGGUGAAAUGCGUAGAUAUAGGAAGGAACACCAGUGGCGAAGGCGACUACGUGGACUGAUACUGACACUGAGGUGCGAAAGCGUGGUGAGCAAACAGGAUUAGAUACCCGAGUAGUCC
rnacentral:rRNA from 1 species